rnacentral:rRNA from 1 species
CCUACGGGGGGCUGCAGUGAGGAAUAUUGGUCAAUGGACGAGAGUCUGAACCAGCCAAGUAGCGUGAAGGAUGACUGCCCUAUGGGUUGUAAACUUCUUUUAUAUGGGAAUAAAACGUUCCACGUGUGGGAUUUUGUAUGUACCAUAUGAAUAAGGAUCGGCUAACUCCGUGCCAGCAGCCGCGGUAAUACGGAGGAUCCGAGCGUUAUCCGGAUUUAUUGGGUUUAAAGGGAGCGUAGGUGGAUUGUUAAGUCAGUUGUGAAAGUUUGCGGCUCAACCGUAAAAUUGCAGUUGAAACUGGCAGUCUUGAGUACAGUAGAGGUGGGUGGAAUUCGUGGUGUAGCGGUGAAAUGCGUAGAUAUCACGAAGAACUCCGAUUGCGAAGGCAGUUCACUGGACUGCAACUGACACUGAGGCUCGAAAGUGUGGGUAUCAAACAGGAUUAGAUACCCGAGUAGUC